rnacentral:rRNA from 1 species
AAGACCUUGCGCUUUUGGAGCGGCCGAUGCCUGAUUAGCUUGUUGGUAAGGUAAAAGCUUACCAAGGCUUCGAUCAGUAGCUGGUCUGAGAGGACGGCCAGCCACACUGGGACUGAGACACGGCCCAGACUCCUACGGGAGGCAGCAGUGGGGAAUUUUGGACAAUGGGGGCAACCCUGAUCCAGCCAUGCCGCGUGAGUGAAGAAGGCCUUCGGGUUGUAAAGCUCUUUCAGCCGGAACGAAACGGUUACGGUUAAUACCCGUGACUACUGACGGUACCGGAAGAAGAAGCACCGGCUAACUACGUGCCAGCAGCCGCGGUAAUACGUAGGGUGCAAGCGUUAAUCGGAAUUACUGGGCGUAAAGCGUGCGCAGGUGGUUUUGUAAGUCAGAUGUGAAAUCCCCGGGCUUAACCUGGGAACU